CUCAUACAUUUUUCUAAACAAAAUUAUAAAGCAUCGUGUAAAGUGAAAUUUUUUGAACUGGGGGUUUGGGGUUCGGGUUGCACCGACUCCAUAUAAAAUGCCCUAAAAAUUUAAGGGUUCACGUUCACGUAUCAGUGACAGCAGCCGGCGGCGAGAGCAAUCUGCACUACGUUCGGUUUCGCUAUUCCGGCAAUAUCUUUCAUACUUUACCUCUUUGAAGAUGCAAGUGAUGACGUGGAGGAGAGCAUAAUGUGGCUUCGUUUCUCCACAUUAGAGGCUUGUCCACAUUGUUUGAGUUUCACUUGUUAAACAUUUCAAACUUUCAGGACUAGGGCAGUGUUACAUGAACUGUGAAUCAAGUGAAUCUGUUUUCAAUUGUAUGGUGUAGGAUAUUUCCUUGGUGUUGAUUUUUGGGUAGUGUUUGCUUGUUAUUUGGCAAACACACAUAGAAUUGCUUUGAUUGUUUGGUUGUCUAAAGUUGUUUUACAUGAACUGUGAAUCAAGUGAAUCUGUUUUCAAUUGUAUGGUGUAGGAUAUUUCCUUGGUGUUGAUAUUUGGGUAGUGUUUGCUUGUUAUUUGGCAAACAAACAUAGAAUUGCUUUGAUUGUUUGGUUGUCUAAAGUUGUUUCUCUAGAUCUAAUGAAACAAUGUUUCACUUCACUCCAGUGUUUCACUUUUUUAUCGUAGAUUUAUACUGCUGCUAAUGAUUAUCUGUCAGAUUGAUUAAUUUUAAUGCUGUAGAAAAAAUGUGGCAGACUCAUUCCAAAUGUUAAUGUGAAUGUUAAACCAUGUUAAGUACCAUGAAGUGAUUCAAUUUGCAUGGGAUGUUUAAAUGACUAGUUAGCGUCAGGUACUUUGACUUUCCUUCCAUUUUUUUUAUUGUCUCUAUUUCUUUCUUUUUAGCAUUUUGGGUUAGAAGGUGUUUUAAAUUAAGCAAAACUGAUGUUGUUUUUGAAAUUAAUUUUUUCCAAAAAAUUGCUUUCUCAACUCUCCUUAAAAAAAUUUGUGUACCUUGAUUAGAUGCCCCCAAGCAAGAUUACAGAAACCAAGGUUUUCUACCCAACGAUAUUGGAAGUUCUCCUUUUCAGGUAGUCAUGGAACAAGUGCCAUUGAUUCAUAUAGUACUGGCUUUAACGAUCUGGAAUUGGGUUCCAUGGUUCCUUCAGAGAUGACACUGCCGACCUGUUGGGCUCAGAAACAACCGCUGUGACUCUUGGAUGAUCAAGUUUUGGCUUUAUUUAUUGAGGUCUCAGAGCAGACCUAUAUGGCAUUCACGAUGGAAAAGUUAUUGAGCUUUCUGCAGGGUGGAUUGAGUAUGGCUGGACAGAUGCUUCUGUUGUUGGGAGCUCAUUGAAGUGGAAUCAUGGUGAAAAAUAUUGCUCUAGCAUUUAAAGUUUAUAUUGUGAUUAGGAGACUAUCAAACAUGCUGGUGUUUCCCUUACUCGAAGAACUUGGAAGAGAAGACAUUUAAACCUGCAGCACAUCAAAAUUGUCAUGAAAGUUUGCAUGAGGCUUGGGAAAUUGAAAAUUGUGGAGGGUCUUUUCAGUGGUUGCCAGCAAUUUUGGGCAUGGUCCAAAAUUAGUGAUCCAGGUUUCUCUAUGACUUACUACAUCCACUGGUGUACUUGGUUUGCUGUGUGCAUUAUUCCUGGGAGGGUGCCAAUGUGCAAGGAGGUGAAGAUGGCAGGAUUCAUGUUGUAUUUAUACAUAAGGCCACGGUUGUUGAAAUUAUGAAGAUAAAUAGAUUAGGCGUGUAGUUCUCUGAUGUUGUCCAUGUUAUUUGUAUGCACAGUAGUCAAAAUUUACCCUCCAUCAUUUCUUUUUUAAUCUCUUGAAUUGAUAAUUUGAUAUAUGAAUUGGUAUUUGUUUUUUGUUUA